ACAAAGAUAAAAACACAGUUCCGGUUGGUAGUCCGGACGCGGCAAACGCUGUCAGUAACCUGCCUCCUUGGUUGUCCGUUCUUUGUAA
rnacentral:ncRNA from 1 species